UCAGCGAGGCUUUGGAUUUGUGUUUUCAA
rnacentral:sRNA from 1 species